rnacentral:lncRNA from 10 species
GUGAAGCACAACAUUUCAUCUCUUUGAUUCUAGACACUAUCCUCAGAAAUUAGAUUUGAAAAAUGAGCUUCAUUUUCGAAGAACAUAUUGAAUUUGUUAUCUCGAUUAUGGAGGGCGACAAGUCCCACAGUCUGCCAUCUGCAGGAUGGAGAACCAGGGGGAGAAUAAUUGACUCCAUUCAAGUGUUCGCUCCUGUUUCAAUCAACUAUGGCUGAAGAGUGAGGAGACAUUUGGAAUAAAUAUGGCUUCUGGGGGCCCAUUCCUAUGGAUCAGCAGCUGGCUUCUGGAGGCCCAUUCCUGUGAAUCGUCGAUCUCAUAGAAGAUAAUAUUGUUAGAAGGCUUACCUCAUUGAUGCUGAACAUCCUAAAAAGCUUCUGCUGCUUUGAGUCACUGAAAAAGACCAAGAAACAUGAAUUUAAAAAAAAAUUUCAAAUGUUAUAAAAUAAAUAAUAUGAACUCAUUAUACCUACAAUGAAUAAUUUAAAUUCUUCUUUGGUAGUCCAGGAAAGGCAAGGCAGGGAGGAUCCCUUG